rnacentral:rRNA from 1 species
GAUGAACGCUGGCGGCGUGCCUAAUACAUGCAAGUCGAGCGAACGGACGAGAAGCUUGCUUCUCUGAUGUUAGCGGCGGACGGGUGAGUAACACGUGGAUAACCUACCUAUAAGACUGGGAUAACUUCGGGAAACCGGAGCUAAUACCGGAUAAUAUUUUGAACCGCAUGGUUCAAAAGUGAAAGACGGUCUUGCUGUCACUUAUAGAUGGAUCCGCGCUGCAUUAGCUAGUUGGUAAGGUAACGGCUUACCAAGGCAACGAUGCAUAGCCGACCUGAGAGGGUGAUCGGCCACACUGGAACUGAGACACGGUCCAGACUCCUACGGGAGGCAGCAGUAGGGAAUCUUCCGCAAUGGGCGAAAGCCUGACGGAGCAACGCCGCGUGAGUGAUGAAGGCCUUCGGAUCGUAAAACUCUGUUAUUAGGGAAGAACAUAUGUGUAAGUAACUGUGCACAUCUUGACGGUACCUAAUCAGAAAGCCACGGCUAACUACGUGCCAGCAGCCGCGGUAAUACGUAGGUGGCAAGCGUUAUCCGGAAUUAUUGGGCGUAAAGCGCGCGUAGGCGGUUUUUUAGUCUGAUGUGAAAGCCCACGGCCUCAACCGUGGAGGGUCAUUGGAAACUGGAAAACUUGAGUGCAGAUGAGGAAAGUGGAAUUCCAUGUGUAGCGGUGAAAUGCGCAGAGAUAUGGAGGAACACCAGUGGCGAAGGCGACUUUCUGGUCUGUAACUGACGCUGAUGUGCGAAAGCGUGGGGAUCAAACAGGAUUAGAUACCCUGGUAGUCCACGCCGUAAACGAUGAGUGCUAAGUGUUAGGGGGUUUCCGCCCCUUAGUGCUGCAGCUAACGCAUUAAGCACUCCGCCUGGGGAGUACGACCGCAAGGUUGAAACUCAAAGGAAUUGACGGGGACCCGCACAAGCGGUGGAGCAUGUGGUUUAAUUCGAAGCAACGCGAAGAACCUUACCAAAUCUUGACAUCCUUUGACAACUCUAGAGAUAGAGCCUUCCCCUUCGGGGGACAAAGUGACAGGUGGUGCAUGGUUGUCGUCAGCUCGUGUCGUGAGAUGUUGGGUUAAGUCCCGCAACGAGCGCAACCCUUAAGCUUAGUUGCCAUCAUUAAGUUGGGCACUCUAAGUUGACUGCCGGUGACAAACCGGAGGAAGGUGGGGAUGACGUCAAAUCAUCAUGCCCCUUAUGAUUUGGGCUACACACGUGCUACAAUGGACAAUACAAAGGGCAGCGAAACCGCGAGGUCAAGCAAAUCCCAUAAAGUUGUUCUCAGUUCGGAUUGUAGUCUGCAACUCGACUACAUGAAGCUGGAAUCGCUAGUAAUCGUAGAUCAGCAUGCUACGGUGAAUACGUUCCCGGGUCU